rnacentral:rRNA from 1 species
AGUAGUUGAUCAGUGGCUACAGGACGAACGCGUGGCGGCGUGUUAACACAUGCAAGUGGAGCGACGAACCGGGCUUGCCCGGGCAGAGCCGCGAACGGGUGAGUAACACGUGGUAACCUGCCUCAAUGAUUGGGACAACCCGGGGAAACUCGGGCUAAUACCAAAUGUGUUCACUCCUUCUAAGGGGAGUGAGGAAAGGAAGCUUCGGCCUCCGCAUUGAGAUGGGCCCGCGGCCCAUUAGCUUGUUGGUGAGGUAACGGCUCACCAAGGCUUCGAUGGGUAGCUGGUCUGAGAGGACGAUCAGCCACACUGGGACUGAGACACGGCCCAGACUCCUACGGGAGGCAGCAGUGGGGAAUCUUGCACAAUGCGCGAAAGCGUGAUGCAGCAACGCCGCGUGGGGAAGACGGCCUCCGGGUUGUAAACCCCUUUCAGUUGGGACGAAGCUUCGUCGGUGAAUAGCCGGUUGGAGUGACGGUACCUUCAGAAGAAGCCCCGGCUAACUACGUG